rnacentral:rRNA from 1 species
GACGAACGCUGGCGGCGUGCUUAACACAUGCAAGUCGAACGAAAAGACCGAAAGAGCUUGCUCUGUUCGGGAUUGAGUGGCAUGAGGGUGAGUAACACGACAUCACCUUGACUUUAGGAUGGGUUCAAGAGACGGAAACUACUGCCAAUAAGGAAUACGUUCUGAGAGGUGCAUGGUCCAUGGAUGCAACGGUGGCCUCUAGAUGUAAGCUAUCGCCUGAAGAUGGGUUUGCGUCUGAUUAGCUGGGUGGUGGGGUGACGGCCCACCAAGGCGGCGAUCAGUAGCCGGUCGGAGAGGAUGGACGGCCACACUGGAAGUGAGACACGCCCCAGACUCCUACGGGAAGCAGCAGGGGGGAAACGUCCGGAAGGGGCGAAAGCCUGAGGGAGCAACGCCGCGUGAGUGAGGACGGCCGUCGGGUUGUAAAACUCUGUGAUCCGGGACGAAAAGGCAGAGUGCGAAGAACAAACGGCAUUGACGGUACCGGAAAAGCAAGCCACGGCUAACUACGUG